rnacentral:rRNA from 1 species
CGUAAGCGCACGCAGCGGUCUGUCAAGUCGGAUGUGAAAUCCCCGGGCUCAGGGGAAACUGCAUUCGAACUGGCAGGCUGGAGUCUUGUAGAGGGGGGUAGAAUUCCAGGUGUAGCGGUGAAAUGCGUAGAGAUCUGGAGGAAUACCGGUGGCGAAGGCGGCCCCCUGGACAAAGACUGACGCUCAGGUGCGAAAGCGUGGGGAGCAAACAGGAUUAGAUACCCUGGUAGUCCACGCUGUAAACGAUGUCGACUUGGAGGUUGUUCCCUUGAGGAGUGGCUUCCGGAGCUAACGCGUUAAGUCGACCGCCUGGGGAGUACGGCCGCAAGGUUAAAACUCAAAGGAAUUGACGGACGG